GAAAGACACAAGCUGAGCUAAUAAGAACUGCAGCAGAUUUUGCAUGCACGUUGCAAACUGUGUCCCGAAAGGAGCAGGAUGGGGUGGAAGAGGCAGCGGCCACUGGCAGAGGAACGCAGGGCUGAGUCACGGCCGCAUCGUGCCAGCACUGCCUGCCCGCUGCCUGCAGUGCCUGGGAGAGUUCUCCGUGUUUCUCUCUCUUCCCUUUCUGCACAGGAAUCGUUACUCACUCUGCACACAAUGCCAGAAAAGGAAAAAAAAUCCCUUCCAGACUCUGAAAUCCACUGAAUUUUAAAGGAGAAAGAGUGUGAAGACCAUGCCUCCAUGAGAAUCUAGGAUUUGAAAAGUGACAGAAAAGCAAAACAGAGGAGAAUGGAAAUAAUCCAACACAGAGCCACUUCAGGAAUGGCAAUGAACAACAUCCAACUCCAGAACGUAACCUAAAUCCCUAUUUGUAAGUUCAGUCUGGUGCUUUCAGAGUCUGCUCACAGUGGAUGAUACAAAAGCUCAGGUGCUUCAACAACCACAGCUGCUCCAGGCUUCAUCUCCAAUGCUGUUGUGAGGAAUUUUGAACUGCACACUGGAUGUGAUUUGCUACGCAGAGGGCGAAGUCUGAG
ensembl:lncRNA